CAGCAGCCGCGGGAAUACAGAGGGUGCAAGCGUUAAUCGGAAUUACUGGGCGUAAAGCGUGCGCAGGCGGUUUGUUAAGACAAAUGUGAAAUCCCCGGGCUUAACCUGGGAACUGCAUUUGUGACUGACUAGAGUAUGGUAGAGGGUGGUGGAAUUUCCUGUGUAGCGGUGAAAUGCGUAGAUAUAGGAAGGAACACCAGUGGCGAAGGCGACCACCUGGACUAAUACUGACACUGAGGUGCGAAAGCGUGGGGAGCAAACAGGAUUAGAUACCCGUGUAGUCCCUGUCUCUUAUACACAU
rnacentral:rRNA from 1 species